CAUUGGGUCCCACUUUCAGGUCCAGACCUGGGUAAAAUUGUUCUGAGAGUAAAGUUUAUUGUCUGCCUAUUAGUCUUCCUUUCCUUUUAUCCCUUAGAGGACCUCUUAUCUCCUUUCCUUCUCUCUUAGACUGGUAUCUUCAUUUCUGUUCUUCCUUUAAAAAUCUCCUUUCAAUAGUGGAUUUAAUAAAGUCAUUUACAUUGAGUUAUGUAGGGAAGAUGAGGCUUAAUGUGUCCAUUAUCAUAAUCAGUUAAGGGAAAAAGAUAAGAAAACAUGAGAGGGGGAAAUAUCCAGAGUAGUUUACAUUUAAAAGGAAAUAAACCCAUAAAUGGAAGAAGUAUAUAUCAUGUCAUGUUUCUGUAAGUCUUAUUCUUUCUUUCUCCAUGGAAAACCAAAUAGUAAGAACUAUUUUAGUUGUGAUCCUGCAGACAGAGAGUGAAGCAGGGAUGCUCUUUCCACUGUGCAAGACAAUGAAAAAAGUACUAAAACCAACCCACAGUCUCAUUCCACCAGUGGUUUGUUUCACCAGCCUACACCUCAUUACACUCCAUGUCAACAUAGGCAUAUUACU
rnacentral:lncRNA from 1 species